UGGAGCAUGUGGUUUAAUUCGACGAUACGCGAAGAACCUUACCUGGCCUUGACAUACUAAAAAGCUUUAAGAGAUUAGAGUGUGCUAGCUUGCUAGAAUUUAGAUACAGGUGCUGCACGGCUGUCGUCAGCUCGUGUCGUGAGAUGUUGGGUUAAGUCCCGCAACGAGCGCAACCUCGUGUUUAGUUGCUAACAGUUCGGCUGAGAACUCUAAACAGACUGCCUACGCAAGUAGGAGGAAGGUGAGGACGACGUCAAGUCAUCAUGGCCCUUACGGCCAGGGCUACACACGUGCUACAAUGGGGUAUACAAAGAGCAGCGAUACGGUGACGUGGAGCAAAUCUAGAAAAUGCCUCUCAGUUCGGAUUGUAGUCUGCAACUCGACUACAUGAAGUUGGAAUCGCUAGUAAUCGUAGAUCAGCAAUGCUACGGUGAAUACGUUCCCGGGUCUU
rnacentral:rRNA from 1 species